UACGUAGGGGGCAAGCGUUGUCCGGAUUUAUUGGGCGUAAAGAGCGUGUAGGCGGCCAGGUAGGUCAGCUGUGAAAACUCGAGGCUCAACCUCGAGACGCCGGUUGAAACCAUCUGGCUAGAGUCCGGAAGAGGAGAGUGGAAUUCCUGGUGUAGCGGUGAAAUGCGCAGAUAUCACUUGGAACGCCAACGGUGAAAACAGCUCGCUGGGGGUAUCCUGACGCUGAGACACGAAAGCCAGGGGAGCAAACGGG
rnacentral:rRNA from 1 species